UACGUAGGGUGCGAGCGUUAAUCGGAAUUACUGGGCGUAAAGGGUGCGUAGGCGGAUAUAUAAGUUAGAUGUGAAAAGCCCGGGCUCAACCUUGGUCGUGCAUUUAAGACUGUAUGUCUAGAGUUUGUAAGAGGGGGGUAGAAUUCCAAGUGUAGCAGUGAAAUGCGUAGAGAUUUGGAGGAAUACCGAUGGCGAAGGCAGCCCCCUGGUAUAGAACUGACGCUGAGGCACGAAAGCGUGGGUAGCAAACAGG
rnacentral:rRNA from 1 species